UUUUUUGAAAUUUUCGGGUUAACACAAUAGAGCACUAUCAGCAAUACAUUUGGGGAUUUAUUCAAAAUCACAACAUUUAGGGCUGGUAGAGAGGUGAACGGCGGCUGUAGGGGAACGGCAGUGACGGUGGUGAACGGCGUCGACGGUAGGUGGGUUCUCGGCUUCAGCAGUCUCGCCGACGGCGUGCUUCUUGGCGUGGGGUGCUGGCUGCUCACGGUUCCGUCUCUCGGCGUGCUUCGGUGAUUUCCAGUGUUUGUGAAUGGGAAGUUUUGCAAGGAUCCAAAGGAAGUCAAUGCGGAUGAUUUCUUUACUUCAGGGCUCAACAUUGCAAGAAACACUGAUAAUCCAGUUGGUUCCAAAGUAAUAGCUGUUGAUACAAGUGUGACUUGUAAAAGAAUAUACAAGUUAAUAUUUUGAAUGGUUUUAAAGCAUUGGAUUGGUAGCUAAUUGCAAAAGUGUCGUAAACAACCAAACAAUAUCGACUGCGGAUAUUACGUUAUGAGGAUGAUGAAGAAUGUACUUAUCAAUGCCCCUCAUAUCAAACAUUUCUUGUCGAAACAGUUCACCUCCGACAAACCAUAUACUACUCAAGAAAUUGAUGAAGUUAGAGAAGAAUGGGCAAUGUCAUUUUUACAAUUGGUUAGAGCAAAAUGAAUGAUGUUAUAGCUAGCUAAUUACAAUACAUGUUUAGAAAUUUUAAAUUUAUAUUUCGUAAAAAAUUUUUGCCAUUUUUUUAGUAUUUUCUUUUCAAAUUUCUUUUGAUAGAUAUUCGACACUCAAAUGGAUAUAUAUUUUUUUAAAUCAAAAUUA